rnacentral:misc_RNA from 1 species
UGGUGAACCAGCGGAGGGAUCAUUACCGAGUUUACAACUCCCAAACCCUUAUGUGAACCAUACCUAUCGUUGCUUCGGCGGGGACGCCCCGGCUCUCCGAGCCCGGACCCAGGCGCCCGCCGGAGACCCCAAACUCUUGUAUUUGUUUCAGUAUUUUCUCUGAGUGGCAAACGUAAAAAAUAAAUCAAAACUUUUAACAACGGAUCUCUUGGCUCUGG